rnacentral:rRNA from 1 species
UACGUGGGGUGCAAGCGUUGUUCGGAAUUACUGGGCGUAAAGCGCGUGUAGGCGGUUCGCUAAGUUCGAUGUGAAAGCCCUGGGCUUAACCCAGGAACUGCAUUGAAAACUGGCGGACUUGAGUCCGGGAGAGGGUCGCGGAAUUCCUGGUGUAAGCGGUGGAAUGCGCAGAUAUCAGGAGGACACCAAUAAGCGAAGGCAGCUCGCUGGGACGGUACUGA